rnacentral:rRNA from 1 species
GACGAACGCUGGCGGCGUGCUUAACACAUGCAAGUCGAACGGAAAGGCCCUGCUUGCAGGGUACUCGAGUGGCGAACGGGUGAGUAACACGUGGGUGAUCUGCCCUGCACUUCGGGAUAAGCCUGUGAAACUGGGUCUAAUACCGGAUAGGAGCCAUUUUUAGUGUGAUGGUUGGAAAGUUUUUUCGGUGUAGGAUGAGCUCGCGGCCUAUCAGCUUGUUGGUGGGGUAAUGGCCUACCAAGGCGGCGACGGGUAGCCGGCCUGAGAGGGUGGACGGCCACAUUGGGACUGAGAUACGGCCCAGACUCCUACGGGAGGCAGCAGUGGGGAAUAUUGCACAAUGGGCGCAAGCCUGAUGCAGCGACGCCGCGUGGGGGAUGACGGCCUUCGGGUUGUAAACUACUUUCGCUAGGGACGAAGCUUUUGUGACGGUACCUAGAUAAGAAGCACCGGCUAACUACGUG